rnacentral:rRNA from 1 species
UACGUAGGGUGCAAGCGUUAAUCGGAAUUACUGGGCGUAAAGCGUGCGCAGGCGGUUAUGUAAGACAGAGGUGAAAUCCCCGGGCUCAACCUGGGAACUGCCUUUGUGACUGCAUAGCUAGAGUACGGCAGAGGGGGAUGGAAUUCCGCGUGUAGCAGUGAAAUGCGUAGAUAUGCGGAGGAACACCGAUGGCGAAGGCAAUCCCCUGGGCCUGUACUGACGCUCAUGCACGAAAGCGUGGGGAGCAAACAGG